rnacentral:rRNA from 1 species
UGCAAGUCGAGGGGCAGCACUGAGGAAGCCUGCUUUCUCUGGUGGCGACCGGCGGAUGGGUGAGCAACGCGUAUCCAACCUGGCCUGCGCGCGGGGAUAGCCCUUGGAAAUGAGGAUUAACACCCGAUACGCCUUUUGCCCGCAUGGGCAUUUGGUGAAUCUUGCGCAGGAUGGGGAUGCGUUGGAUUAGCUUGCUGGUGAGGUAACGGCUCACCAGGGCUCCGAUCCAUAGGGGUUCUGAGAGGAAGGUCCCCCACACUGGCACUGAGACACGGGCCAGACUCCUACGGGAGGCAGCAGUGAGGAAUAUUGGACAAUGGAUGGAAAUCUGAUCCAGCCAUGCCGCGUGCAGGAUGAUGGCCCUAUGGGUCUUAAACUGCUUUUGUAUGGGAGCAAUAAGUUCUACGUGUAGGAUGAUGAGAGUACCAUACGAAUAAGCAUCGGCUAACUCCGUG